rnacentral:rRNA from 1 species
GGUAUGGGAUGAGCUUGCGUCCGAUUAGCUAGUUGGCGGGGCAACGGCCCACCAAGGCGACGAUCGGUAGCCGGCCUGAGAGGGUGAUCGGCCACAUUGGGACUGAGAUACGGCCCAGACUCCUACGGGAGGCAGCAGUAGGGAAUAUUGCACAAUGGGGGAAACCCUGAUGCAGCAACGCCACGUGUGGGAAGAAGCAUUUCGGUGUGUAAACCACUGUCAUGAGGGAAUAAGGCCCGCCUCCGGGCGGGAUUGAAUGUACCUUGGGAGGAAGCACCGGCAAACUUCGUGCCAGCAGCCGCGGUAAUACGAGGGGUGCAAGCGUUGUUCGGAAUUACUGGGCGUAAAGGGAGCGUAGGCGGAGAUUCAAGCGGAUUGUACAAUCCCGGGGCCCAACCCCGGCUCUGCAGUCCGAACUGGAUCUCUUGGAUAGUUCAGGGGCAGGC